UCCCUGGCAGUCCAGUGGUGAGGACUCCGCGCUCGCACUGCGGAGGGCCCGGGUUCAAACCCUGGUCGGGGAA